GGCCAGCCCACCUCAUUCCCAGCGCUCCGGGCGGUUGGGCAGCAUCCAUCUCCAGGCAGAGUAAACACGGAGUUGGCACAGUCACAGCGGCUGAUGGAUGGGGACUCUGUGCCCCACUCCAGCACUGCGCGGUCCCAGCACCAGAGGCCAGUAGCGGGCGUCGGGUUACACCCAGAUAUUUGCGGUAAGGGCAGCUCCGGGCAAGUGUGCUUUGAAGUAAGAGCCCGAGGAACAAUUGGUUGGGUCACGGGACUAAGGGAGACCUGGUGACAGUUGUUCCCCAAUCCUGGGUUAUCUUGCGCCAAGAAAGUCAGCAGAAAGCUUUGGUUUAGGGGGACAAUUUGGGGAUGGUCAGCUUGGGCCUCUGCAACAAAUGCAGGGUGUGGUGGACAGACGAUGUGGAUGGCAGCUACCCCUAAAGUUGUCCACAUUGAACUCUGCGUGGCUUUCGGGAGCUCUUCUUCAUCCUGCUUUCCUUUCUUAAGUGAGCUUGGCGCCAUGGAGGGGAUGUGUGUACUUCCGCACUGCAUUCCAGUAAUGGUGUGGUGCGGGCAGGGAGGUGGCCUGGGCUGGGAGGAGGUCAGCUGGCUUAGGACUGAGAAGCUGUCCCCCCACUUCUUCCUCCUGCCCCCCACCCCACAACGAAGUGACCGAGCAAGCACACUGCUGCCUUGCUGGGCUGACCAUCUGUGGUCAGACGGGAGAAGGUGUGGGGUUGGUCUUAAGGAUGGCCGUUCCAAUCGCUGCCAUUUUCGUGGACUUACCACGUGCCUGGUGCUGUGCUAGAUGUUUUGCUUACUGCUUACGUUAAUGUCCAACAGCCGUGUGGUUAUUGCAGUUAAUGGGCCCCCAGUGCAGAUGAGGAAAGCUGCGUUCAGAGAGGCUAAGUGCCAGGUGCACCGUGAGCCCCUAUGGCAUUUUGUGUGAAUUAGAAAACUUUCCUCUCAACACGUGGCUACCUUCUCUCGGAAAAUUGUCAUCAUAUUUGAUUGUGUUAGAACAAGACCUUUCGCUGCUACACACUGCAACAUGACUGUUAUAAAGAAAUACACAAAUCUACGAAGGGCACCGUGUGUUUGUCCCCUUAGAGGCUGUCCUUAGGUUCUGGAUAACCCAUCUCCCAUCCUGGUCCCCAGAAGCAAACACAUUGAAGCUGUUUCUUUGUUUCUUUUGAUAUUUGCCUCCAUAUUUCUUCAUUCUCUGUUUUGUGCAUGAUCUAUGGAGUUGCUGGUAAGAUAAAUGAGGACUUAGCUCUCUCACACUCCCCACUUUCCCUCUCUCACCCUCACAAGACAGAUGUCGCUGCUUUUACUUAAUAAAGGGUUUACUUUACUACAACUGUAAAUAUUCUUCAAUGCAAAAUCAGUGAUUGUAUUUUAAUCUCAUUCUUUCUUGUAAGAACUCUGGGCCAGGCAUGGUGGCUCACACCUGUAAUCCUAGCAAUUUGGGAGGCUGAGGUGGGCGGAUUGCCUGAGCUCAGGAGUUCGAUACCAGCCUGGGCAACACAGUGAAAGCCCAUCUCUACUAAAAUACAAAAAGUUAGCCGGGUGUGGCGGUGUUCACCUGUAGUCCCAGCUACUCUCGGGAGGCCGAGGCAGGAGAAUUGCUUGAACCCGGGAGGCGGAGCUUGCAGUGAGCCGAGAUCGCGCCACUGCACUCCAGCCUGGGCGACAGAGCAAGACUCUGUCUCAAAAAAAAAAAA
rnacentral:lncRNA from 1 species